AAGGUCUUUUAGGUCGUUGACUAACUCGCUUGUUACCUGUUUUUAGCUUUCUCUUGCAUCGAAUUCGAUGAAAAAUCUGCAGGUCAAAAAAGCCAUUUGUUUCCCUCAAUUUAUUACGUCAAUGUCUUUUUUGUCCUACUUUUCCUAACUUCCGCAUUAUGUUUACGAUAGGUCAGUGUCUAGAAGAUUAACUUGAAUUUUCUAGACAGAGGUCAAACUUUAAAUGGCUGAUGUUUGUCGAUAAGGAUUUUCGAGGGGUUUCGUAACAGAGGAUCUACCGUCAUGUGGAAAUUUGAAAAAGAAAACUGGAAGAUAACCGCAAUGACCACCAUCAGCUGGUACGCUAAGAUUCGGUGACGGUAUGCUCUUCAGGUAACAAUUCCCAUCGUGCCAACUAAAGGCAUUGCAUCGAUUGUUAACGAUACAAAUGUUGCCGCACUGGUUUUCCAAACUUGGUUGAUUCCCAAUGUCGUGGCCGGGAAAAUCACAAUUUGGGAGCAAUCUGAUAAGAUUUUCACCGAGAUUGACAUAAGUUUCUCCUCCAAAGUUGGCUGUUCCACCUCCAAUGUUUCCACUGCCUUGGCCGUUUGAAACUCCGCCGCCAUAAGAGGCGCCACCGAGCUGACUGAAUCCUCCAUUGUUGAUGAUUAUAUCCAAACCAGAAGAUAAUUCGCUGUUAGAAGAACCAUUUUUUAUUGGUUUAACUGGUUCAUCUUUCCUGUAGCCGAUUUUCCCUCCAUGGCAGAUGGAGAUUGUCGAAAGCGUAACGAGUACAAAAGGUACACAUCUGAUUCAUCAUUUAAUAAUUGUGAAAUGGAAAGAGGAAAUUUAGACCAAAGGAUCAACUCACCAAAACGUUUUCGUGGACCAGCUUGCACUGCAGUAUGUUGGAGUAGUGAGAACUACGAGAAAUAAAUAGAGGCCCUGCUUAAAUCACAAAGAUGAUGUAACAAAAUGAUGGGUCACAAUCGCCAGGGAAUGAUGCCGCAUACGCCACCAUUGAUCGGUAUUCGGGAAGUCAUUGAUGGUGCAUUUUUCAAGUAACAGUAUUCAUCAUUGUCCGGCCGACGAAAAUGAGUACAUUGUGGAUUGGCAACGCAGAUGCCUCCGCAUUCUUCCGCAGAGGCUACUUGGCGCCGUAUGUUGUGACCAAGGAAAUCGCAAUUACGGAGCCAUUUGACACCAUCCCCGCCAUCGUUCCAAUUCUUACUCUCUAACAACACAAAUGGAUCAAAUCGCCAUGGAAUGAAACCGCACAUGCCUCCGUUCUUUGUUGUACGCGAAACGGUCAAUGGCGCCCUUUUCAUGUGGCAAAAUCCAUCGUUGCUGUGACUAAAAUGAGUACAUUGUAAAUUAGCGAUGCAGAUUCCUCCGCAUUCUUCUCCAGAACUUUCCAAACGGCCAAUUUCAUGACCAGGAAAAUCACAGUUCAUGAGCCAUUUGACGUCGCCUCCACCGUCGUUGAAUUCUUCCCCGAAAUUUGGGGGGAUUCCACCAACAGAAACUGUUCCGCCUCCGCUAUUACCAUCACCUGUUCCACUCGAAACUCCUGAAGCAAUAGACGUACCUCCAACUUGACUGAAUCCUCCAUUGUUGAUAACUACAUUGAAGCCGGGUUAUGUACUUCGUCUUUAUUGCCAUUGAUCUCUUCUCCAUACGAUAGGUUAAUCGUAGACCAUACAACAAGUAAAAGUUGAAUGCACGUCCGCAUGAUGUUGUUGCACCAAUUGCAGUUGAAGAAUUUGCCUGCAGAGUGGAAAAUAACACAAAGAGGAUUCCAAGAAACCAAAACUUGGUAACCUACAGCUCGUUUUAAAAUGAACUGAGAAGUUCACAAGGGCGAUGGCCUCUUUUAAGUGACAAGCUCGUGUGAGAAAACAAGGUCGAUGGCACUUUGAACUGUCAAUAUUGCCCAUCAACUGUUCACGUGGAGGAUUCGUUCUCGCACGAUGUCUCACAGGCAUUUUACUACUCAAUCGAGAUUGAUGGUUCGUGUUGAACUGACAGCCACACUUGUUUCGUCCCUACAGCUCUAGAUUGACGCACUAUAUUGCCAUCACAGUUUCCAAGCUAUCCAUUCCAUCGUCGACCACAUCUGUCCUUCCUGUUCGGCAACCACCAUUACAGUUACGGCAGAAUAUGUUGCAUCUUCCGUAGCCACAGCAGGGAGUUCCUCUAGUUCCAUCUUUGCAAUAUCCACGUCGUGAUCCACAGUAAGCUGCAUCGACCGAAUCCGGCACUAUCGACAGUGCAAUGAGUGAAAUAGCAACGAAUAUCAACGCCAUCUUAGUCGACAUUGUUGUGUACCUGUGCAAGAUAUUUAAUAAGAAGACCUGGGACAGUUUACAAACAAGUUUUUUGUCACUAGCGAGCCAAGACUCAACCAUGAACUGUAUCGCUUGACGAAUAACUAAGAACUAAGGUGUUGCAACAUUUUAUUAUCCGAAUAAUUCAUGGUGUAUUCCAAGAAGAAUUACAUUAUGAAUCUGCAACACAUUUAAUGGAUAAAAACGCCCAUCGUCAGCCGGAUAACAGGUAGAACUACCCCCAAUGUUGACUCCGCCUGUGCUGGCCGCAUGCGAACUUCCGCCGAUGUUAACUGCGCUGCUACUUGAAGAACUUCCUCCUUGGAAUGAACCUCCGCCGAUGUUAAUUGAACUGCUAGACGCCGACGAACUGCUGGAAGCCGAUGAACUUCCAACCUGUGCGAGGCCGAUCUCCGAGAUACCUGCACCCGCCUGAUUUGCGAUGGCGGCUGACGAACUUGCGGCGGCGGAAUUACUGCCCGAUGAAGCUGUGCCAAUAUUAAUUCCAACUGUGCUGAUUCCGGGCAAAUUUCCUCCAGGGUGAUGUCCUAUUCCAGUUCCAGAUUGACCGAUUCCAUUAUAACCGUUGACACCUCCAGAUGAACCUCCGGCACUAGCAAUGCCUCCAAAGUUAGCCGAUUGCCCUCCAAUAUUUGCGUAAUUUCCUGCUUGCAAACUUCCCCCGCUGUUGAUUGCAUUGCCAGUUGAAGAUCCUCCUUGAUAAGAGCUUCCGCCAACAUUUAUAGUACCGGAACCUCCAAAGUGAGUAGCACCGACUCCUGACGUACUGGCACCAGCAUGAUUUGCUAUUGCGCCCGAAGAUCCUGCUGCUGCAAAAUUACUGCCACUCCCAGACGAAGGAAUUCCGUAGUUGCUUCCACCUUGGCUGACUCCGUUUAAAUUUCCUCCGGAAUAACCUGCUCCAACUUGAGAUUGACCUAAUCCAGUAUAACCACCUGUAGUAAAAAUACUUUCAAUGAUUGCGGAUCCUCCAUCAGUACCCACUCACCUGAUUGCGAAUUUCCGCCAGUGUUAAUUGUAUUGCCACUUAGAGAUCCUCCUUGGUAAGAGCCUCCGCCAGCACCAACUCCUGACGUACCUGCGCUCACCUGAUUUGCUAUUGAGGAACUUGCGGCAGCGUAAUUACUGCUUGACGAAGCUGUGCCGAUGUUAACUCCACCUUGGUUGAUUCCGGGCGAACUUCCUCCAGGGUAACUUGCACCGGAUUGAGAUUGUCCAAAUCCAUUAUAACCACUGCCGGACAAGGCAGUUGCACCGAUGCCUGAAGAUCCGCCAAUGUUAACGUGACCUCCACCUGAGUUGGUUGGACUGAUGUUUGAAGAACUUCCUCCAAUAUUAAUCGUACCAGAUCCCGAAGAACCUCCAACCUGAUUGCUGCCGAAUCCAGACGUACCUGAACCCGCAAAAUUUGACGCAACACCAGACGAACCUGUUGCUGCGUAAUUACUGCCAGAUGAAGCCGUUCCUAUAUUAAAUCCACCUGUGUUGAUUCCAAGAGUUCCUCCUCCAAGAUAACCCGCACCGAUUUCGGAUUGACCGAAUCCGUUGAAACCGCCUCCAUAAAAAUUUCCUGUGGUAGCAAGUCCUCCCGCGUUAGCCGAUUCUGCUCCAAUGUUGCCGUAAUUCCCUGCUGCCGAACUUCCGCCGAUGUUAAUUACGCCGCCACUUGACGGACUUUCUCCUUCGUAAGUGCUUCCGCCAACAUUAAUUGUGCCGGUUCCCAAAGAACCUCCGAUGUUAGCCGCGCCGAUUCCAGACGUACUUGCACCGGCAUAAUUUGCUGCAGUGCCGGAAGAUCCAGCUGCUGCAUAACUACUGCCACUUCCGGAAGAAGCCGUGCCAAUAUUAACUCCGCCUUGGUUGAUUCCGGGGUUGACUGGUCCUCCAGGGUAAUUUGGUCCGACUUGAGACUGACCUAAUCCAGCGUAACUGCUGCCAACUCCGGUCGAACCUCCCGUGCUACUAGAUUGUCCUCCAAACGUGACGUAACCUGCGCCGACAUUCAAACCUCCACCGAAACUAAAACCACCAUUGUUGGGGUUAAUUGGCAUGCAGUAAUAUGCUACUGCGCCGUUAUUUGAAAUUCCGGCGCCAUUUGAAAUUCCGCCGUUGUUGACGUAUCCGCCGCUGUUGAAAUAUCCUCGUUGUGUCUCACCGACGACUUCAGGUUCAUCGGAAGAAAUAGCACGCAGCGCCAUAGCGUCCGAUUUGGGUUCAGAGGAGUCCAGAUGACGAAGGGUAAGGUAACAGUUUGGUUCUUGGCCCAUGUCAGCCCUCUUCAUGAAAAUUUCUGUGUCACGUCACAAAAGAGAAAGGGCAACUUUCCCCCACAAAGAAAAUACGGAAUUGAGGAAGGUCAUCUCCUACAUACCUGUCCCAUCAACCCGGAAGAAGGAUGGCAGGCUACAGACCAUCUUAAUAGGUCAUUGACCAUCGAUAGUCUGGUGGUGAAGCUGCAGGGAAGAAACAAAGAAUUAAAAAAAAACACACUCUAGAGUGGUCAAAGAAGACAUGAAAGAAUGCGAAUGUUACAAACGCUUAACAACAAAAACGUCAACUUCAAGUUUUGUCCGUUGGGUAUUACGGUGAACACGGCAAAAAACGACAAGUGUCAAAGAGUUCCAGGAAACAAAGCACGGGUAAUCUCCCCGGUGGUCAAUUGAGGCAGUGUCUCGUCCUGCCUUGGUUGACGGCAACUUUAGAAUGGGUUACUUUGUCCGUCUAAAGUGGCAAAUUAUUUAAUUGUGUGGAGAAUUGUCAAUACAACAUUUUUUAUAACAAAUUGUUUGCAAAAUUUCUCUUUAUUAUUUUCUUGGCGUUAACAUUCUGCAUUUUUCUAACUUACACUUAGCAACUUUCUAACGCUUGCGCACGUUGUAAUUUUAUUUACUUAUAUUUAAUGACUUCUGUAGGUUUUGAUUCUCAUGGAUGCAUUGGUUAUUAGGGAGCUGUGAAUUGUAUGUCUUGUUAUUAGAUUGUUUAUGUUCUCUGUUCUACUUUUUAAUUUCAGAUUUCUGAUGAUCGUGUUAUGGAUUUUGUAGCACAGAAUAAUCAUUUCAACUAUUUGUAUGUUCCUGAAAUAAUGAAUAUGUAUUAGGGAUGUCUGAUAUAAGUAUUGGUGUACAAAGAUGUUGGUUUGAGCUGGUUGUUAACAAUUAGUAAUAUAAGUAUCUUUUUGGGCUGGUCUUUUUUGGUAAACUUUGAUUCGUUGUUUUCUAAGGUAUUUCUAUACUAGAGGCUAUAGAAUUAAAAGAACUGUCUACUUAUAUCAAAAUGUGAUUUUCAUUCAAUUGGUUUGCUGACAUCAUAAACCAGACGUCUUUUAUGAUUUUGAGGUGAAAUUAGGAAAGGAAUUUCAUACUUAGUGCUGUGUAGAGU